rnacentral:rRNA from 1 species
AAUCCUGGCUCAGGAUGAACGCUAGCUACAGGCUUAACACAUGCAAGUCGAGGGGCAGCGGGAUUGAAGCUUGCUUCAAUUGCCGGCGACCGGCGCACGGGUGAGUAACGCGUAUCCAACCUUCCGUACACUCAGGGAUAGCCUUUCGAAAGAAAGAUUAAUACCUGAUGGUAUCUUAAGCACACAUGUAAUUAAGAUUAAAGAUUUAUCGGUGUACGAUGGGGGUGCGUUCCAUUAGGUAGUAGGCGGGGUAACGG